AACGAACGCUGGCGGCAUGCCUAACACAUGCAAGUCGAACGAGACCUUCGGGUCUAGUGGCGCACGGGUGCGUAACGCGUGGGAACCUGCCCUUAGGUUCGGAAUAACUCCCCGACAGGGGUGCUAAUACCGGAUAAUGUCUUCGGACCAAAGAUUUAUCGCCUUUGGAUGGGCCCGCGUUGGAUUAGCUAGUUGGUAGGGUAAAAGCCUACCAAGGCGACGAUCCAUAGCUGGUCUGAGAGGAUGAUCAGCCACACUGGGGCUGAGACACGGCCCAGACUCCUACGGGAGGCAGCAGUGGGGAAUAGUGGACAAUGGGCGAAAGCCUGAUCCAGCAAUGCCGCGUGAGUGAUGAAGGCCGUAGGGUUGUAAAGCUCUUUUACCCGGGAUGAUAAUGACAGUACCGGGAGAAUAAGCGCCGGCUAACUCCGUG
rnacentral:rRNA from 1 species